CACGAAGUUGCGUGAGCUAAGAAAUAUAUAUAGUAGUAAAAAAGUGUUGCAGAAUGUGGAGAAUAGUUCUUAGGGGUGAUAGGCUUCACAAGCGCAGCGAUAACUUGCUUGCUCUGAAACAUAUUUAGUAUAAGGCAAGUCUAAAGUGAUAAGAUUUUUGACAUGGAUAAAUUAAUUUAAUAUUCAGUUAUCGAGUGUAAUAGCAUAUAAAAUAGAAAUAAAAUAUUAAUUAAUUUGUGUUAUCCACAAAAAGGGCAAAUAUCUUAACAGUAACGUAUAUUUAUAAUGUUAACAUUAGUAAUACUUAAAGUGCAUUGAAUGAACUCGGCUAAAGUUUCUCGACUGUUUAUCAAAAACAUAGCUAACUGAACUUAUAUUUAGUGCCUCCUGCUCAAUGACAUGUUCAAUAGCCGCAGUACUCUGACUGUGCAAAGGUAGCAUAAUCAAUUGGCUUAUAAUUGAAGUCUGGGAUGAAAGGAUACACGGGGAAUUACUGUAUCCGGUGUUUACAAUGAAUUUACUUAUCAAGUGCAAAUACUUGUAUCUAACUGUUAGACGAGAAGACCCUAGAAAUUUGAAUAAUUGUUUAGUUGGGGCAACGUAGCAGGAAAUAACCUGCAGUAAGGACAUGAAAUUGGCUAGGAGGACUAAAUUACUCUAGGGAUAACAGCAUAAUUUCAAAAAGUUUGUGACCUCGAUGUUGGAUUUGGGAAUUAUAGUUCAGAA
rnacentral:rRNA from 1 species